rnacentral:rRNA from 1 species
AUACGUAGGGAGCGAGCGUUGUCCGGAAUUACUGGGUGUAAAGGGAGCGUAGGCGGGAGUGCAAGUCAGAUGUGAAAUACAUGGGCUCAACCCAUGGGCUGCAUUUGAAACUGCAUUUCUUGAGUGAAGUAGAGGUAAGCGGAAUUCCUGGUGUAGAGGUGAAAUGCGUAGAUAUCAGGAGGAACACCGGUGGCGAAGGCGGCUUACUGGGCUUUUACUGACGCUGAGGCUCGAAAGCGUGGGGAGCAAACAGGAUUAGAUACCCUGGUAGUCCACGCUGUAAACGAUGAUUACUAGGUGUGGGGGGACUGACCCCUUCCGUGCCGCAGUUAACACAAUAAGUAAUCCACCUGGGGAGUACGGCCGCAAGGUUGAAACUUAAAGGAAUUGACGGGG